rnacentral:rRNA from 2 species
UAAGGUCACGGCGAGACGAGCCGUUAGGUGAUAGGUGUCAAGUGGAAGUGCAGUGAUGCAUGCAGCCGAGACAUACUAAGAGACCGAAAGAUUUGAAC